UACGUAGGGUGCAAGCGUUAAUCGGAAUUACUGGGCGUAAAGCGUGCGCAGGCGGUUUUGUAAGUCUGUCGUGAAAGCCCCGGGCUCAACCUGGGAAUUGCGAUGGAGACUGCAAGGCUUGAAUCUGGCAGAGGGGGGUAGAAUUCCACGUGUAGCAGUGAAAUGCGUAGAGAUGUGGAGGAACACCGAUGGCGAAGGCAGCCCCCUGGGCCUGCACUGACGCUCAUGCACGAAAGCGUGGGGAGCAAACAGG
rnacentral:rRNA from 1 species